rnacentral:lncRNA from 1 species
AGUCAUUGGCAGCAGAGAACUGGAAGGAAAGACGGCCAAAGGAGGAAUUGGCUUUGGGGGUGACCAGAGAGAUAUACCUGCUGGAGCGCGUGCUACAGGACCUGAGCCCUAGGACCAUGCCUCAGGACUACCUGGCAUGAUGACUCCUUGCUGUCCCCAGUCCACCUGGCCGUGCUGCUGCUCCAGUUUCAACUGUUCUGCCUGCGGCUAUGGAACCCUGACCUGUUCACCGGACGUGCUUGUUGCACCCUCGACAACUACUAUGAUUAUUAUUAUUUGACCAUGCUGGUCAUUUAUGAACAUUUUAACAUCUUGACCAUGUUCUGUUAUAAUAUCCACCCGGCACAGCCAGAAGAGGACUGGCCACCCCUCAUAGCCUGGUUCCUCUCUAGGUUUCUUCCUAGCAUUUUGGCCUUUCUAGGGAGUUUUUCCUAGGGAGUUUUUCCUAGCCACCGUGCUUCUUUCACAUGCAUUGCUUUCUGUUUGGGGUUUUAGGCUGGGUUUCUGUACAGCACUUUGAGAUAUCAGCUGAUGUACGAAGGGCUAUAUAAAUAAAUUUGAUUUGAUUUAAAA